AGUUCAGUUGGUUAGAAUGCCUGCCUGUCACGCAGGAGGUCGCGGGUUCGAGUCCCGUC
rnacentral:tRNA from 1 species